rnacentral:rRNA from 1 species
UACAGAGACUGCGAGCGUUGUUCGGAUUCACUGGGCGUAAAGGGUGCGUAGGUGGUCGGGUAAGUCUGAUGUGAAAUCUCCGGGCCUAACCCGGAAACUGCAUCGGAUACUAUUCGGCUAGAGGGUUGGAGGGGGGACUGGAAUACUUGGUGUAGCAGUGAAAUGUGUAGAUAUCGUAAGGAAGACCCAGUGGCGAAGGCGGGUCUCUGGACAGUUCCUGACGCUGAGGCACGAAGGUCAGGGAGCAAACGGG